CUACGGGUCGCUCCAGGCGGGAAACCUUUACAAUACGCGAAAGCGUGAUAAGGGGAUCCAAAGUGCUUGCCUACGGGUGAGCUUUUGUCAAGCAUAAAUACCUUGACGAAUAAGUGGUGGGCAAGACCGGUGCCAGCCGCCGCGGUAACACCGGCGUCCACAAGUGGCGUUCGCGAUUAUUGGGCCUAAAGCGUCUGUAGCUGAUUUGGACAGUCUUUUGUUAAAUUGUUAAGCUUAACUUAACAACUACGAGAGAUACUACCAAGUUAGGGACCGGGAGGAGGCAGAAGUACUCUUGGGGUAGCGGUUAAAUGCGAUAAUCCUUGGAGGACUACCUGUGGCGAAGGCGUCUGCCUAGUACGGAUCCGACAGUGAGAGACGAAGGCUGGGGGAGCGAACCGGAUUAGAUACCCUAGUAGUC
rnacentral:rRNA from 1 species